UAUAAUAAUAAAAAAAAGAGAAGAAAACAUGAGUAGGAAACUCUGAUACUACUGUUGAUAAACGGUGGUUUCAGACAAGGCUGAAGCAAACCUGGAGCUGUGGGAAGUGGCAGAUGAAGAAUGUACAUCGGGGAAAAGGGGAAAAGCAGUUAUAGUCUAUCUUUGAUAGUGUAAGGAAAUAAAAACAUAGUAACAAGGGUUUUUAAAAAAUUUAUUAUGUUUUGGUUUUAGGUUGAAUAUACUAUACAAAAUGUAGUAUCUAGUAAAUUUUAACAAUGGAGUAAGAAAAAAAUAGAAAAAAUCUAAUAAGACUGGCAAUAACAAAUGCUGGUGAGGAUAUGGAGAAAAAGAAACCCUUAUACAUGGUUGGUGGCAAUGUAAACUAGGGAAACUGCUAUGGAGAACGGUUUCUGAAAAAACUAAAAACUGAGCUACCAUAUAAUCCAGCAAUCCCACUGCUGGCUAUAUAACUAAAAGAAAUGAAAUCAAUAUAUCAAGGCGAUAUCUGCACUCCUAUGUUUGCUGCAGCAAUGUUUACAAUAGCUAGGAUUUGGAAGCAAUCUAAGUGUCCAUCAAAGGACAAACAGAUAAAGACAAUGUGGGGCCAUAUAGAGGCUGGGGGUUGGGGGGAGGUCAAGCGUAGCCUCUUCUCCUUUACCAAGAUCGCGGCUUGUCCCUGUUUUGCCACAGUUCCUACCUUAUGAGCUCGGUUUUCUUAUGCUAAUAAGAGUGGAACAGCAAAAGCUGGCAGGCUGACAGAGGCGGCCUCCAGACGGACUUUCUGGCUACUGACUGUUUUACUGUGGUUUUCCUGGAUUGUGUGUAGGUGUGAGAUCAACCAUGAGUUCUGUUGCAGUUUUGACCCAAGAGAGUUUUGCUGAACACCGAAGUGGGCUGGUUCCGCAACAAAUCAAAGUUGCCAUUCUAAAUUCAGAAGAGGAGAGCAACCCUCCAACCUACAAAGAUGCCUUCCCUCCACUUCCUGAGAAAGCUGCUUGCCUGGAAAGUGCCCAGGAACAUGCUGCAGCCUGGGGGAACAAGAUCCGGCCCAUCAAGGCUUCUGUCAUCACUCAGGUCCAUGUGCCCCUGGAGGAGAGAAAAUAUACGGAUAUGAACCAAUUUGGAGAAGGUGAACAAGCAAAAAUCUGCCUUGAGAUCAUGCAGAGAACGGGUGCUCACUUGGAGCUGUCUUUGGCCAAAGACCAAGGCCUCUCCAUCAUGGUGUCAGGAAAGCUGGAUGCUGUCAUGAAAGCUUGGAAGGACAUUGUUGGUAGACUGCAGACUCAGGCCUCAGCAACUGUUGCCAUUCCCAAAGAACACCGUCACUUUGUUAUUGGCAAAAAUGGAGAGAAACUACAAGACUUGGAGCUAAAAACUGCAACCAAAAUCCAGAUCCCAUGCCCAGAUGACCCCAGCAAUCAGAUCAAGAUCACCGGCACCAAAGAGGGUAUCAAGAAAGCUCGCCAUGAAGUCUUGCUCAUCUCUGCUGAGCAGGACAAACAUGCUGUGGAAAGGCUAGAAGUAGAAAAGGUGUUCCACCCCUUCAUCACUGGGCCAUAUAACAGACUGGUUGGCGAGAUCAUGCAAGAGACAGGCACGCAUAUCAACAUCCCCCCAUCCAGCAUGAACCGGACAGAGAUUGUCUUCACUGGAGAGAAGGUACAAUUGGCUCAGGCUGUGGCUCGCAUCAAGAUUUAUGAGAAGAAAAAGACUACAACCAUCGCAGUGGAAGUGAAGAAAUCCCAACGUAAGUAUGUCAUCGGGCCCAAGGGCAAUUCACUGCAGGAGAUCCUUGAGAGAAGUGGAGUUUCCGUUGAGAUCCCGCCCUCAGACAGCAUCUCUGAGACUGUAAUACUUCAAGGCGAACCUGAAAAGUUAGGUCAGGCGUUGACUGAAGUCUAUGCCAAGGCCAACAGCUUCACCGUCUCCUCGGUCACUGCCCCUUCCUGGCUUCACCGUUUCAUCAUUGGCAAGAAAGGGCAGAACCUGGCCAAAAUCACUCAGCAGAUGCCAAAGGUUCACAUCGAGUUCACAGAGGGCGAAGACAAGAUCACCCUGGAGGGCCCUAUAGAGGAUGUCAAUGUGGCCCAGGAACAGAUAGAACGCAUGGUCAAAGAUUUGAUUAACCGGAUGGACUACGUGGAGAUCAACAUCGACCACAAGUUCCACAGGCACCUCACUGGGAAGAGCAGCACCAACAUAAACAGAAUCAAAGGCCAGUACAAGGUGUCCGUGCACAUCCCUCCUGACAGUAAGAAAAGCAAUUUGAUCCGCAUCGUGGGGGACACACAGGUGUGCAGCAGGCCAAGCGAGAGCUGCUGGAGCUUGCAUCUCGCAUGGAAAACGAGCAUACCAAGGAUCCAAUCAUUGAGCAAAGAUUUCAUCACACAAUCGUUGGGCAGAAGGGUGAAUGGAUCCAUGAAAUUCGUGACAAAUUCCCAGAGGUCAUCAUCAACUUUCCAGACCCAGCACAAAAAAGUGACAUUGUCCAGCUCAGAGGACCCAAGAAUGCGGUGGAAAAAUGCACAAAAUGCAUGCAGAAGAUGGUGGCAGAUCUGGUGGAAAAUAGCUAUUCAAUUUAUGUUCCGAUCUUCAAACAGUUUCACAAGAAUAUCAUUGGGAAAGGAGGUGCAAACAUUAAAAAGAUUCAUGAAGAAAGCAACACCAAGAUCGACCAUCCAGCAGAAAAUAGCAAUUCAGAGACCACUGUCAUCACAGGCAAGUGAGCCAACUGCGAAGCUGCCCAGAGCAGGAUUCUGUCUAUUCAGAAAGACCUGGCCAACAUAGCCGAGGUAGAGGUCUCCAUCCCUGCCAAGCUGCACAACUCCCUCAUUGGCACCAAGGGCCAUCUGAUCCGCUCCAUCAUGGAGGCGUGCGGUGGGGUCCACAUUCACUUUCCCGUGGAAGGUUCAGGAAGCGACACCGUUGUUAUCAGGGGCCCUUCCUUGGAUGUGGAGAAGGCCAAGAAGCAGCUCCUGCAUCUGUUGGAGGAGAAGCAAACCAAGAGUUUCACUGUUGACAUCCGCGCCAAGCCAGAAUAUCACAAAUUCCUCAUGGGCAAGGGGGGCAGCAAAAUUCGCAAGGUCCGCGACAGCACUGGAGCACACGUCAUCUUCCCUGCGGCUGAGGACAAGGACCAGGACCUAAUCACCAUCAUCAGAUAGGAGGAUGCUGUCUGAGAGGCACAGAAGGAGCUGGAGGCCUUGAUCCAAAACCUGGAUAAUGUGGUGGAAGACUCCAUGCUGGUGGACCCCAAGCAUCACUGCCACUUCGUCAUCUGAAGAGGCCAGGUCUUGCAGGAGAUUGCUGAAGAGUAUGGCGGAGUGAUGGUCAGCUUCCCAUGCUCUGGCACACAGAGCGACAAAGUCACCCUCAAGGGUGCCAAGGACUGUGUGGAGGCAGCCAAGAAACGCAUUCAGGAGACCACUGAGGAACUGGAAGCUCAGGUGUCAUUAGAAUGUGCUAUACCCCAGAAAUUCCACCUAUCUGUCAUGGGCCCCAAAGGUUCCAAAAUCCAGCAGAUUACUCGGGAUUUCGACAUUCAAAUUAAAUUCCCAGACAGAGAAGAGAACCCAGUUCAUAGCGCAGAGCCAGUUGUCCAGGAAAAUGGAAAAAAUCAAAUGUUUAUUUAUUUUUGUAUGUUGAAC